rnacentral:tRNA from 5 species
CGCGGGGUGGAGCAGUCUGGUAGCUCGUCGGGCUCAUAACCCGAAGGUCGCAAGUUCGAAUCUUGCCCCCGCUA